UCCGGUUUGACACCGGCAGUCUCGCUAGAGUCCCCAGCCGAACUGCUGGCAACUAGCGACAGGGGUUGCGCUCGUUAAGGGACUUAACCCGACACUUCACAGCACGAGCUGACGACAGCCAUGCAGCACCUGUGCACGUUCCACGGCAAGCCGCGUCACCCGCCUUUCGGCGGACUAAUCCGUGCAUGUCAAGCCCAGGAUAAGGUUCUUCGCGUUGCUUCGAAUUAAGCCACAUGCUCCACCGCUUGUGUGAGCCCCCGUCAAUUCCUUUGAGUUUUAGCCUUGCGACCGUACUCCCCAGGCGGUGCACUUAACACUUUCGCUUCGACCGAGAGCGGCGUCAAAACCCCCUCGAUCUAGUGCACAUCGUUUACGGCGUGGACUAC
rnacentral:misc_RNA from 1 species